rnacentral:rRNA from 1 species
GAACUUAGCUUAGUGGCGGACGGGUGAGUAACGCGUGAGUAACCUGCCUUUCAGAGGGGGAUAACGUUCUGAAAAGAACGCUAAUACCGCAUAAUAUAUUGGUGUCGCAUGGCACCGGUAUCAAAGGAGCAAUCCGCUGAAAGAUGGACUCGCGUCCGAUUAGCCAGUUGGCGGGGUAAAGGCCCACCAAAGCGACGAUCGGUAGCCGGGUUGAGAGACUGAACGGCCACAUUGGGACUGAGACACGGCCCAGACUCCUACGGGAGGCAGCAGUGGGGGAUAUUGCACAAUGGAGGAAACUCUGAUGCAGCAAUGCCGCGUGAGGGAAGACGGUCUUCGGAUUGUAAACCUCUGUCCUUGGUGAAGAUAAUGACGGUAGCCAAGGAGGAAGCUCCGGCUAACUACGUGCCAGCAGCCGCGGUAAUACGUAGGGAGCAAGCGUUGUCCGGAUUUACUGGGUGUAAAGGGUGCGUAGGCGGCUCUUUAAGUCGGGCGUGAAAGCUGCGGGCUUAACCCACAAAUUGCGUUCGAAACUGGAGGGCUUGAGUGAAGUAGAGGUAGGCGGAANNNCCGGUGUAGCGGUGAAAUGCGUAGAGAUCGGGAGGAACACCAGUGGCGAAGGCNGCCUACUGGGCNUUAACUGACGCUGAGGCACGAAAGCAUGGGNUAGCAAACAGGAUU